UUUAUUGAUGGAUUUCUAAACUGCUAUAAAUGUGGACUUCCCAGUAUCCCACAGGUUUCCAUGUAGCAGUUGUCCUUAGUGUAAAUAAACAAUCAUAUUUGCAUCUGCAGCAUUCCAGUGAGUUGCUGUGGUUGUAUUAUUUUCUUUGUAUUGAGGUGGUAGUAAAAAAGAUCUGAAUGCUGAAAAGACAGUUCUUUUUGAAUUCAGUCGCAAAUUAGGCUUCAAGCAUCUCAGGUAGCCUACCUAGAAAAUGCAGCCUGUAUGGUGUGAACAUCUGUGAUAUUUCAUUUUAACGAUCUGCCCAACAUCAUGUGGCAGAUAGCACAGUGCAGUCCAGUUCCCCAGGAAUGUAUUUGCCUGUCUUCAACACAGGACUGCAGGUUCAAGCACAGAGGAAGUUGGAGUGCUUCUACUCUAUGAAUACAAUACGUUGCCCCAUUGAGUUUUUUUUCAUCCAGCAAGUUUGAUAUCAGUGUUCUACCAUGAGAAAUAGGAAGGACAAAGGUUUUUGUAGUACCCCCUGUCAGAUGUUUGAAAGUUCUUAAGUGACUGUGUCCCAUCUUUGCAGAUUCUACCUCAGCUUAUCCACGAAACUGGUUUUGACCAAAAGCAUCAAAAUUCUGAAGAAUGAAAGACUGUGGCAGUGGAGAAGGGCAUCAUCCAACACCUGGUGGAGGUCUGUGUGAGACAAAUGUGAAAACAAGCAUCUCAGGCCUUCCUGGACUAAUCCUGAGGGAUGCUAAAACCUUGAGCCUCUUAGAAAAUGUAUUUCGUGACCUCCUGUGGAGUGCUCAUGCCUUAUCGGGAUCUCUUAUUGGGAUCCUACAUGCACAGCAGCUGCUGGUCCUCUACUGCAUCAGCUAAAAAGCCAGAACUUCAAGAGCUACUGAAGAAACUACCGCUGUUUCAGCCCACAGAGUGACUGAGGGAAAACAGGAACACCUUCCAAACAGAUCUUCUGUUUUGAUCUGCAGAAAGAGGAAGACCACACUCUGCUAGGGAAUUUUGCAGAGUUUUCUGGCAGCAGAGAAAUGGUGAAACUUGGAAAUGCUGGUUUGUAUUCAGGGUCUGAAGAGGAGAGUAGUAGGUUCAAAUCUUUCUAACAGCCUCUUCCAUGCAUGCACUUCUGUAAGGAACUGAUUCAUGGCCUUGGCAUAAGUACAUACAUUUUGUCUCCUGCCAUAAGAAAACCCAUACUUACUUCUUCCCAUCUACUCAAAAGUGAUGUGCAAGCAGGUCAAUAGAAUGGAAGUCCUUGUAACAGCGAGAUAACAACUCUGACAUGCUUAUCCCCAACGCUGUGAUUUCCUUUGGCCAGAUAUGAACACACAUGCUAUAAUUUUAGUGACUGUUUACUUCACACAAAUGUCAUGACACAUUGUAAAUCACACCCACUGUAUUGCCAUGUGUCCAGACAUGCUGUGACCGCAAUCCUUGAGAACCUUGAACGGAGCUAGUCAUCAAGAACAACAUGCACAGGAAAGCAUGCUUUACAAAGUGCUGGGCUUGGGAACUUGGAAGAGUUUUAUCACCAAAUUUGGAGCUGACUGUACCUUCUUUCCCAGGUGUUUCCCGUACCUUUUUUCUUAGUGUUACCUUAUUAGCUGAAGCACAAUUUUCUAGCAUUUUGUUCUUUAAAAUGACUGAGCUAUUUCUGAAGAAACUUUAAAACUAUCCUGAAGCUAAGUUCCUGCUAUAUGGCAUUUCAGGUGGCAAAACUAGUUUGGUAGUCAAGACAUAUUUUAAACUUUCAAUCCAAAGCUAUGACAUUUGUCAUGGAAACACGAAGAUCCAUGUGGUCCUCUGCAAACACAUCAGCCCCAGUGCUAAGGCUUUGUGAGGAAGACACCUUCUCAUCGUUAAUGCUGGGAUGAUGGAAACUGUUGUCUACCGAAGUUCAAAUGAGUGUGGACUUUGCAGUCUUCAAUAUUAAAGGUUUAUGUUGCUAUGAUGGUAAUAAUUCAAGAGUGGGACACAAAUCCGUAUUCUGAGAGGAUGUUAGGACUGUAAAAUGGAGCCUACAACCUCGUGCCCCUCAGACCCUGCCACAUCCUCUGGGGACUAUUACAAAGUCUAGUUAUGAUAGCAUACUCCUUAAAAAUAAAAUUAAAAAAUAAAAUCCCUUGCCCAAGACUUACUCAAUAGGGUACAGGUUAAAGACAGGAAUUACAUUCUUUGCAACAAAAUAAUACCCCAGUAAGUCACCAUAAAAGAUGAUCUUCAGACUGAAAUGUGGAUAUAGCUAAUAGGGAGUAAAAAUAUGCUCUGUAUGUGAAUUGGCUGCUCUGUAUGUGAAUUGGCUCACAGUGCCUUUUCCUCACAUCCCUGUUACACAUCUUUCUUAAAUAAAUUAACCUGCCAGUGUCCUCUCUCCCAGUAACUUUGGACUCUGUUGGCCAGUAUCAAGCAAAUACUGUAGAAGAAUACAUUGAUGGCUAGUUCGAGAUGAAGAAGCCAAUGAGUCCCUUUUUCUUCCCACACUGAGGUAAAGGCUAGGAGACCUCCACUCUCAGGUUAGCCCACAUGCUGAUGUAUGUGCAUUCCCAGCUAGACACAAGCGUUGCUGAUGUGUACCCCACCAGGAGACAACGUGGGAUGGAUGUUAGGGUGCCAUAUUAGGGCUGUGCAAAAUACAGAUCUGAACAGGGGGUGUUGUAGAGGGAUUCAGGCGUUGCUGAUUGCGAAAGUGAGGGAGCAUCUGGGUGGACUUGUUGCACAUGAUUCUGUGAGAAACAAACUUUGUUAAUCCCACUGCUUACAGCACUUCUCUGCCUAUCUAGUUCUUUAACAGUUUAACUGCAAUGAUUAAAAAGAAGGCAUAUGUUUCUUUUGCUUGAGAAGUACAGAAAGUGUCCUGAAUCUCAGGCACUGCAGAAGCAAAAUGCAAUGCAACCAGAAGCAAUAGAAAUAGUCAAGGCAAGGAGAAUUUAUUGCAGGCUUCACCUUUAAACUGAACCAAAAUUAAGUUUGGCACAGAGAGCUGCUUGAUCAUGCUAAAAGACAUAAGGAACGAAAAUCAUAGAAUCACAGAAUCACCGAACGAU